UUAAUGCUUAAUAUAUUAAUAAUAUAUAACGACAACUUACACUGUCAUAAAUGCUAGGACAGAAAAGUAAUGUUUUACGUCACACGAUUUUGGACAUAAUUUUUGAGUAACACAGAGUACAUUAUCACAUGUCCUUUGAGAUGAACUGAUGGGUGAUGCAUUUCGACGACAGCUGAGAAGUGAUGCGAUACCAUCGAUAUACUUUCCUUCACAACAAAAUGGAAGAUUCUCAAUUAGAAGUAACCUAACGUUAGCUAGCUUAGUUGGACUAGCUGGGUAAAUUAGCUAGCUAACGUUACAGUCCUAUUGAACUCUGAAAGCCAUCAGCUAACGUUAAAUCAUAUCGCUAAGUUAUCUUUUGGUAUACACUGUCAAUCAAUUAACGUUACGCUUAUGGCUGCCAUGGUAAUCACUGCUAGACUGGUAGCUAGCUAAGUUACCUUCAGCAGGGUGAACAUGUUUGUUUGUUCGUUCUGAUGCUAGCUAAUGUUACUCUUAUUUGGUGUUUUAAUUUGGUAGCGACCCAUUCACCCUUGUGUGGUAAACACUAAGCUAUAUCGACAAUUCUAUUUUUAAUAACAAACUCACGCUUUGUGUUGGAUGUGUAUUAAACGUCUAUAGUUGGCUAACAAUCGUGGUGCCAAUUUAGUGACGCUAGUUAGCUAACAGCAAACUGACAAUAUUGAAAUGUCCAUGUUAGGUAUGCUUAGUUAGCCAGUCUAAUAGAGAUCAAUACAAUUGGUGGGGUGGUUAAGUUGUGUAUUCUAUAUUUUGUUGCAGGUGGUAUAGAAUCUCCCACCAUGAUGCGCUUCCAACCCCUGGCUCAGCACAAGGUGAAGUGUCCUGCUGUUAAAAUACCCCAAAGCAGGGGUAUUUUGGCUACACAAGCAUGAGGGAGUGGACACACCUUGCGGUUAUGGAGGACAACAAGCUUGUGGGACAGAAACCAGCAAGGGACACUGAAACUACAACAGAGAUGUGCAGUACCAGGAAAUAUUCUGCAAGAGGACCAAACAGUUGGUGGCCCUACACCACUUUCGGCAGAGCCUUAUCCAGCUGGCCAUUCACCGCAGACAGGACAAGCCCAUCGCCAUAGCACAAAGAGUCUCCGCUUCCCCAGUGCACCAUGCCAAACACAAUUGCCAGUGUACCGAAGCCAGAUAAAGGACUAUGGCUGCAUUUACACAGGCAGCCCAAUUCUGAUAUUUUUUCACUAAUGGGUCUUUUGAUCAAUCAGCUCUGUUGUGAAAAAAUAUCAGAAUUGGGCUGUCUGAGUAAACGCAGACAGUGUGGCUCAGCAUAAGAUCAUGUAGAACACACUGGAGGAUACUGAGGGGAGAAUGGCUCAUAAUAAUGGCCAGGACAGAGCAAAUGGAAUGGUAUCAAACACAUUGAAACUAUGUGUUUGAUGUAUUUGAUAUUGUUCCACUCUUGCCAUUACCACGAGCCCGUCAUCCCCAAUUAAGGUGCCUCCAACCCUGUUUCUGGAGAACUACCCUUUAUGCUCCUACCCUAGUCAUAACUAACCUAGUUCAGUUUAUCAACCAGCUAAUUAUUAGAAUCAGGUGUGCUAGGUUAGGGUUGGAGUGAACCUACAGGGUGGUAGCUCUCCAGGAACAGGGUUGGAGAGCCCUGAUUUAGAACCACCAUCAAAUAAAUAUAGAUAUUUUAUAUUAGUCUUUUAAAUUUGUCUGCCCUUAUGAAUUCACAGAAGACAUUUAUAUUAAAACUGUACAGGGCUCUGUAGCUUUAAAUAGAUGCUAGACAUUCAGAUAUCCUCUGUAGACUCUACAGAUGGGACUUAUUCACCAUAGUAACCUCCUUAACCAAGCCUCAGAGCGUCAGGGACUGACUGGGCCAACCCAACAGCAGGUCCCUCACAAUGAGGGGUGGGCUUCAGCUUAGCACACAAUUCCAAAACCACAUGAGUGGGCUUGGGCUAUAUGGAGAUUAGCAUAAGUGCUAUGUACUGGGUGUGCAUCCCACCUAAACUUAUCUGUAAAUUACUGUAUUGGGCUGUAGUUCUGCUCUUGUUUUUAGUGUAUUUUUUAAAUACUAUGCAUUUUUGGUGUCCUGUUGUAUAUAUAUAAAAUAUGCUAUAAAGCAAUGAUGCCAAAGCUGCGCAAAUAUUUGGAACUCAUUGUACAAGAUGAGAUGUUAUAUUUUACAUAAUUUAUUUAAAAAAAUAUAUGCAUAAUAAUAUGUGCAGUAAAGUGGGAAAGCAUGGAUGAGAAUAAAGACUCAGAAGUUGUGGCACCCCUUUGGGGACCGUGGCCACAAGCAACACAUACUCCCUCUGUUGGACUCCUAUGAUAAAGCACUUGCAUCACUCAGUUACUGUUGCUGAAAAAACAUUGUUUGAACAUCAUUGCAUUGUUCGUAAUAACGUUGAAAACGACUAAUUCUCUCAGUUGUAAAGUACCUGUAGAUUAACUAUAGACAGACUGAUUCAACAAAGUGGUAAUGAAUAGUAUAGUGAUCUGGAUGCGCCUUUUUAAAUAAACAGAUUUGGUGUAACAUGACAA